GACGAACGCUGGCGGCGUGCCUAACACAUGCAAGUCGAACGGGGUAACGUCUGACACCGAGUGCUUUUACAUAGAGUAAAGAACCAACACAACUCUAGAGAAGAAAGAGCACUGGGUGUCAGGCGGAGCCUAGUGGCGAACGGGUGAGUAAUGCAUCGGAACGUGCCCAGUCAUGGGGGAUAACUACGCGAAAGCGUAGCUAAUACCGCAUACGCCCUGAGGGGGAAAGUGGGGGAUCUUCGGACCUCACGUGAUUGGAGCGGCCGAUGUCAGAUUAGCUAGUUGGUGGGGUAAAAGCCCACCAAGGCGACGAUCAGUAGCUGGUCUGAGAGGAUGAUCAGCCACAUUGGGACUGAGACACGGCCCAAACUCCUACGGGAGGCAGCAGUGGGGAAUAUUGGACAAUGGGGGCAACCCUGAUCCAGCCAUGCCGCGUGAGUGAUGAAGGCCCUAGGGUUGUAAAGCUCUUUUGUGCGGGAAGAUAAUGACGGUACCG
rnacentral:rRNA from 1 species